AAGGUUCAAAGGGAAGGGGUAAUGCGUGGAGAUUCUCAAAAGAAGCACAAGAUGAGAUGAAGAAAACCCCUAAGAUGAGAGAUCAAGCAAAGGAGGGCUAAGGAAAUGGAAGUUGCGGUUCAAGACUUGAAGAAAAGGGAGCCGGUUCUAUUCAAUUUCAAACCAAGAUCAUAGCUACAUCAAGGACCGUAAAGACUAUACUCUUUUUCCCUUAACGAGGUUUUAUCCCACGUGGUUUUCCUUGUUAAGGUUUUUAAUGAGGUAGUUCUUUGCGGAUUCCAAGCUUGAUCUUUGGUCCUUUGGUGUCCCGACGCUCAAGCUUGCGGGGGAGUAUUAGAGUGUAUGAAGAAAAGGAGAGAGAGGCCGAAGAGGCCGAGCCUUCUCCAAGAAAGAGAAGAAGA
rnacentral:lncRNA from 1 species